GAUGAACGCUAGCUACAGGCUUAACACAUGCAAGUCGAGGGGCAGCAUGGUCUUAGCUUGCUAAGGCCGAUGGCGACCGGCGCACGGGUGAGUAACACGUAUCCAACCUGCCGUCUACUCUUGGACAGCCUUCUGAAAGGAAGAUUAAUACAAGAUGGCAUCAUGAGUCCGCAUGUUCACAUGAUUAAAGGUAUUCCGGUAGACGAUGGGGAUGCGUUCCAUUAGAUAGUAGGCGGGGUAACGGCCCACCUAGUCUUCGAUGGAUAGGGGUUCUGAGAGGAAGGUCCCCCACAUUGGAACUGAGACACGGUCCAAACUCCUACGGGAGGCAGCAGUGAGGAAUAUUGGUCAAUGGGCGAGAGCCUGAACCAGCCAAGUAGCGUGAAGGAUGACUGCCCUAUGGGUUGUAAACUUCUUUUAUAAAGGAAUAAAGUCGGGUAUGCAUACCCGUUUGCAUGUACUUUAUGAAUAAGGAUCGGCUAACUCCGUGCCAGCAGCCGCGGUAAUACGGAGGAUCCGAGCGUUAUCCGGAUUUAUUGGGUUUAAAGGGAGCGUAGAUGGAUGUUUAAGUCAGUUGUGAAAGUUUGCGGCUCAACCGUAAAAUUGCAGUUGAUACUGGAUAUCUUGAGUGCAGUUGAGGCAGGCGGAAUUCGUGGUGUGGCGGUGAAAUGCCUAGAUAUCACGAAGAACUCCGAUUGCGAAGGCAGCCUGCUAAGCUGCAACUGACAUUGAGGCUCGAAAGUGUGGGUAUCAAACAGGAUUAGAUACCCUGGUAGUCCACACGGUAAACGAUGAAUACUCGCUGUUUGCGAUAUACAGCAAGCGGCCAAGCGAAAGCGUUAAGUAUUCCACCUGGGGAGUACGCCGGCAACGGUGAAACUCAAAGGAAUUGACGGGGGCCCGCACAAGCGGAGGAACAUGUGGUUUAAUUCGAUGAUACGCGAGGAACCUUACCCGGGCUUAAAUUGCAGAUGAAUUACGGUGAAAGCCGUAAGCCGCAAGGCAUCUGUGAAGGUGCUGCAUGGUUGUCGUCAGCUCGUGCCGUGAGGUGUCGGCUUAAGUGCCAUAACGAGCGCAACCCUUGUUGUCAGUUACUAACAGGUUCCGCUGAGGACUCUGACAAGACUGCCAUCGUAAGAUGUGAGGAAGGUGGGGAUGACGUCAAAUCAGCACGGCCCUUACGUCCGGGGCUACACACGUGUUACAAUGGGGGGUACAGAGGGCCGCUACCACGCGAGUGGAUGCCAAUCCCAAAAACCUCUCUCAGUUCGGACUGGAGUCUGCAACCCGACUCCACGAAGCUGGAUUCGCUAGUAAUCGCGCAUCAGCCACGGCGCGGUGAAUACGUUCCCGGGCCU
rnacentral:rRNA from 1 species